AAAAUGCCUAGAUGAGUAUAUUAACUCCAUAAACA
rnacentral:tRNA from 1 species